rnacentral:rRNA from 1 species
UACGGAAGGGGCAAGCGUUGUUCGGAAUCAUUGGGCGUAAAGGGCGCGUAGGUGGUUCUGUAUGUCUACCGUGAAAGCGUACGGCUCAACCGUAUUUUGUCGGUGGAAACUGCAGGACUUGAGGCUGGGAGGGGCUGGUGGAAUUCCCUGUGUAGCGGUGAAGUGCGUAGAGAUGGGGGAGAACACUCGUGGCGAAGGCGGCCAGCUAGACCAGUUCUGACACUGAGGCGCGACAGCGUGGGGAGCAAACAGG